GCCAGGUGUGGUGGCUCACACCUGUAAUCCCAGCACUUUGGGAGGCUGAGGCGGGUGGAUCACCUGAGGUCAGGAGUUCGAGACCAGCCUGACCAACAUGGUGAAACCCCUUCUCUA
rfam:Homo sapiens chromosome 9, GRCh38 reference primary assembly.